rnacentral:rRNA from 1 species
GUAGGUGGCAAGCGUUGUCCGGAAUUAUUGGGCGUAAAGCGCGCGCAGGCGGUCCUUUAAGUCUGAUGUGAAAGCCCACGGCUCAACCGUGGAGGGUCAUUGGAAACUGGGGGGACUUGAGUACAGAAGAGGAAAGCGGAAUUCCAAGUGUAGCGGUGAAAUGCGUAGAGAUUUGGAGGAACACCAGUGGCGAAGGCGGCUUUCUGGUCUGUAACUGACGCUGAGGCGCGAAAGCGUGGGGAGCAAACAGGGAUUAGAUACCCUGGUAGUCCACGCCGUAAACGAUGAGUGCUAAGUGUUAGGGGGUUUCCGCCCCCUUAGUGCUGCAGCUAACGCAUUAAGCACUCCGCCUGGGGAUACGGCCGCAAGGCUG